UAAUUGAAGAGUUUGAUCCUGGCUCAGAUUGAACGCUGGCGGCAUGCCUUACACAUGCAAGUCGAACGGCAGCACGGGGGCAACCCUGGUGGCGAGUGGCGAACGGGUGAGUAAUGCAUCGGAACGUGUCCUCUUGUGGGGGAUAACCAGUCGAAAGAUUGGCUAAUACCGCAUGAGAUCGAAAGAUGAAAGCGGGGGACCGCAAGGCCUCGCGCGAGAGGAGC
rnacentral:rRNA from 1 species